GUGAUCGCUGCCAUCAGGCAGAGGAAAGUCCAUGCUCGCACAAGCUGAGACGCUUGUAGUGUUCGUGCCAGACGAAAUCAUAAGUCUGGGUAGUGCUUUCAUGCACUAACGGCAGAGAAAAGACCUGUGUCCUUCUUUGGAUAUGGUCUGAUUAUCUUGAAAGUGCCACAGUGACGGAGCUGAAGUAGAAAUACUUCAGGUGGAACGAGGUAAACCCCUCGAGCGAGCAACCCAAACUUAGGUAGGGGCACUCUUUCAAAGGAAUCAAACGGAGAAAGAGGCUGAU
rnacentral:misc_RNA from 1 species